rnacentral:rRNA from 1 species
UUUAGCGAUAACGAACGAGACCUUAACCUGCUAAAUAGCCAGGCUAGCUUUGGCUGGUCGCCGGCUUCUUAGAGGGACUAUCGGCUCAAGCCGAUGGAAGUUUGAGGCAAUAACAGGUCUGUGAUGCCCUUAGAUGUUCUGGGCCGCACGCGCGCUACACUGACAGAGCCAACGAGUUUCUUCCUUGUCCGGAAGGUCUGGGUAAUCUUGUUAAACUCUGUCGUGCUGGGGAUAGAGCAUUGCAAUC